rnacentral:lncRNA from 1 species
UUCAAACUCAAUCACAUUCUUCAACAAUUCAUUACCCUAGCUCGUCAGUGUUCUUCAGCUACUCUAAGAGAUCAUCCUGAGAAUGGCUCUGCUUUCCAAGACCUCUGGAUUGUGGUGCACGGUGCACAAAGAAGGUGACGAUGAUGAUGCAUAUACUUAUGUCCCGUGUGUUCGAGGUGGUGGUGAUGACGAUGACGGAGAUUAUGAUUAUGCUCCUGCUGCGUCUGAGGGUGACGACGAUGAUGAUGGUGGUUAUGAUUAUGCUCCUGCUGCUUGAGUAACAAGGGAGACUAGUAUCUAACAAUUCAUAUAGCUAAUAGCUGUCUGCAUAAGGCAAUGGUGCAUGUACCAAACUAAUUUCCUAAGUCAAGAUUAGAGACAUAAGUAAUAUUUUAGUUCCAUAUCAUGAUUUUGUUGACUCAUGUACGUGUAUCCGGUUAAUGUUGAAAAUAACCUAAUCUAAGUUGUUUAGACGUAGGAAACAUUUGCAGGAGAAAAAUUAAAACUUCUGAUAUAUAUAAACUGAUUACAUGCAACGUUUUAAAUACUAAUGCACAUCAACAGUGGCUACAAACUAGGAAGUUGAAGACUCAUAACUGACUCCACUACUCCAUUAUCCUCUCACACUCCUAUUAAUCUGCUAACGUCUAAAUGACCAAAUCAAAUACUACUGACUAGUGCUUCACAGAUAUCUCCACGUACAGCACUUGACACAAGCAAACUGAAUAUAAAUAAAGCAUGCAAAUAAAACAUCAAAUUUUAGAUUAAUAUUCCAACAAUCAUCCUCUUAAUCUAAAAUUUAUUUGAACAUAAUUUUUGAAGCACUUCUCUUCAAUUUUGUGAUGCACUUCUCACCACCAUCUCUUCAUUUUGUGAUGCACUUCUCACCACUAUCAAGUUUGAUGCACUUCUCAUCAAAAACAAUUUUGGAGUACUUCUCUCCAGGGUGCACUUCUCACCCACAAUUCUAAAUUAAAAAUUUCUUCCAUGACCACUUGUGCCAUGAUUUUCUUCUCACAGACUUCUCCGGCAUCGACUUGUCUUUCUCGACAGCCCUAUACUACACAUGCAUCCCAUACUACACGUGUAGCUUUGCCACCAUCCUUCUGCAAUGCCUACUUAAAACUACAUCUUCUCCGCAACACAACGCCUCUGCAGCACAACGUCCGGCACCCGUGACGCCAACACCCAGCAACAACCCAAGGAUCGGAGGAAAGGCUGUUAAGCCCUGAUACUCUCUCCCCUCUUGGCUCUGAGAUACCAUGUUGAAAAUAACCUAAUCUACAUAAUGUAUAUAAGUUGUUUAGACGUAGGAAACAUUUGCGGAGAGAAAAACUAAAACUUCUGAUAUAUAUAAACUGAUUACAUGCAACGUUUUAAAUACUAAUGCACAUCAACAGUGGCUACAAACUAGGAAGUUGAAGACUCAUAACUGACUCCACUACUCCAUUAUCCUCUCACACUCCUAUUAAUCUGCUAACGUCUAAAUGACCAAAUCAAAUACUACUGACUAGUGCUUCACAGAUAUCUCCACGUACAGCACUUGACACAAGCAAACUGAAUAUAAAUAAAGCAUGCAAAUAAAACAUCAAAUUUUAGAUUAAUAUUCCAACAGUUAAAUUAUUACAAUGAUAUCUAGAUGGCUGCAGAUUGAUUUUUCUAUUAUUUUUGUCGUUUUGUUGUCGCCCUUCUAGUAUGCAACUUUAUGUGCAGGUAGAAAUGCUAUAUAUACUCCUAUUAGAGCAUCUUCAAGGCUAACAGUGAAAACUGUUAGCUAAAACAUGAUUAGUUAUAAUUUUACUGAACUUGUAGCGAUUUUUCUCCGACGGUGUUAGCUAUAAUCAUUAGCUAUAUUCAAAUAUUAUAUAUUUUUUAAUUUUGAAAAUAUCAUGAAAAUAAAAUUGCUCGAUAUGGGUUAAUGAAAAUUAAAUGUUAUAUUUAAUAAAAAAUUUAUUUAAUAAUAAUAUUAUAAUAUUUUUAUAUCUAUUUCAAUAUUUUAAAGUAAACAUUAUAAAAUAAAAAAAAAAUAACUAUUUUACCAAAAGCAUGUCUUAUUUAAUCAUAUCUUUUUAUAAAUAUAGUUAAAUUAAUAUUUUAACACUUAAUAAUAUUACAUGUGACUUUAUAAAUUAAAAAUAUAAAUAAUAUAUUUAUAUAUAAUAAUAUUGGUUGUUAGAAUUUUAUAAGUUUAGUUAACGAUAAAAUAAUAUUUUACACUUAAUAAAAUUAAAUAAUAUUAUAAAUUGUAAAUAAUACAUCUAUACAUAUAAUAAUAUGAACAUAUAUAAAUAUUUUGUAUAUUAUAAUAUUAUGUAUUUAAAAUAUACAUUCAAUAUUUUAAGUUAAAUAUUUAAAAAUAAUUCAAAUUAAUAUGUUAUAUAUUACAAUAAAAGAUAUUAAGUUUUGGACCAAUAUUAGGGUUACACCUGGAAUAUAUCAAGCGGGAGAUGACGUGGGCUUUCUAGCAAAAUCAUCUGCAAAUCUAGCGCACUUGUUUAUCGGAAGCUAAAUUUAUAGCUAACAGACCACUCGGAGUGGUCUAAAAUUUAGAUGUUAGGUAUAAUAUAUAUCCACGUAGACUUUAUACCUAAGAGGUGUUUGGGGUUGGAGAUGCUCUUAUAAGUUAAUAGAUUCCUGCACAAACAAUAAACACAGGCAACAAGUAUCUGGUUUAACCCUACACCUUUUGAUAUUCAUAUGAAAAAACCGAGCGAGGAUGCUAGCCGGAUCAAUUGAGAUUUGAGACUAUUUUAUAUAGAUCUAUAUGUUUCUUUUAACGGACUCUAAAAUUGAGUUGUUCAGCUGAGACUAUUGGCUAUAGAUCUAUAUGUUUCUUUUAACGGACUCUGAAAUUGAGUCGUUAAUUCGGCCAUAUGUGACCAGUCACUGGUGUAAGCAAACAAAUGAAGCUUUUCAUUUAGAAACAACAAUGCCUAUUACAGGGAACGCAGAGAGACGCCAUGAAGAGGGUUCUACACUAUAUAUAUAGUCCUGUGUUAAUCAUGAAUAUAGGUUUCUUGAUAUCAGAUGUAAGCUACCUAAUGUAAUUAUGCAUGAUGACCUAAUGUAAUUAUGCAUGCGUGCGUUCAUCUGCCUCGGAUCUUUUUACAUCUACAGUUCUUCGUGUGCGCGCGCGGAGUAAUACACAGAGUGAGCAGAUCUUUAAUUUGGGGCUUCUGAUCAUUUCUUGGAUGCAUGUUGACAUGUUUGAUAGUAAUAAUAUUUGACUCUUCUAUUAUCAUCAAGCUAAGUUGUAUGACUGCUAAUCUGCAAAUACAGUUUUUUGUAAAUUUUUUUCAACAGAAGAUCUAACCAUAAAUGUCGAAAAUUAAUACGAUUUGUGUGUGAAAGCUAGCUUUGUGUAUUAUAGAAAUCAGUCUAUAGAGGAGAAUGAUACUGCAACUCUGCAUUUUAAUUUUUCACUGGGCAUUGGGCAACCACCAGUGCCUCAAAGAAAAUGAUGCUUCUCCACUCACCACUUGUCACUGCACACACAAACACACUUAAAUGCACAUAAAUCAUCGAAUAUAUACCGAUGUGUCAUUUAAAUUCCAGAGUGGAAUAGCAAUAUUGUGUCACACUAGUGCAAGCAUUGGGGUCUUCCACACCCUCCAUACAUUUUACCUGUGCGAAACCAUGUAUGCAAAACUCUGAACACACGCACACCUUUUUACAUCUAUAUAUAUAUAUAUAUAUAUAUAUCCAGCCUCAUUCCGCUCCAUAAUAUUCAAACUCAAUCAAAUUUAUUAAAACCCUAGUUGUCCACUGUUCUUCCACUUCUUCAAAAAUUCAUAUCGAAAAUGGCUCUGCUUUCCACGGCCUCUGGUUUGAUGUGCAUGCACAAGGAAGGCGAUGAUGCAUUUCCUUAUAUCCCUUGUGUUCAAGGCGGUGGCGAUAAUGAUGAUGGAGAUUAUGAUUAUGCUCCUGCUGCAUCAGAAGGUGAUGACGAUGAUGAUGGCGGCUAUGAUUAUGCUCCUGCGGCAUAAGUAACAAGGGAGAGGAGUGUCUAACAAACUAUGUAGCUACCCAAGUUAAUUCUUAUGUUGAGAUUAGAGACAAGAGUCAUAUUUUUGUUUGACAUAAUCAUGUUGGCUCAUGUUAUGUGUUAGUGUAUUUAAUUGACUUAUUACAAAGCAAUCACCAGAGCUUUUCAUCCUUCAUUUUCAAAAUGACAAUGCUACAAAAUUAUUGGAAAAGGACUCUUAAUAUGUGUGUAGAGUAAUACACAAAGCAAGCAGUUCUUAAUAUGUGGCUUCUGAUUGACUUGUAUGAUUCUUGAAUAAUAUUCAACAAAGUUCCAUGUAUAUUGGAAAUCACUGCGAGUCGACCAAAUAGAUAACAUGACAAGGCUCAAUUGACUUGAACAAAGAAAUUAUUUCCUGCACAAAAAAGGAGAACUUCAAAAAACUACUAGUUUUCAGGUAGGGUAGGUUACAGUAACCAGCAAAAUUUUCACUUCUCCUAUGGGUAAAGUAAGAACAAAUUAAUCACCCCCUGCCUCACUUCAUGCAGUUACUCCAUCUUGAAGACCGUCAGAGCAUCUCCAACAAUAGGUGACAAGAGGGGUGUCAAUUAAUGCCAUGUGGCAUGACGUGACAAAACACUCUUAUAAUUAACACUCUGUUGGAGUGUAGGAAUGUCAUUGGGAUGCUUAGUGAAGUCAGAAGUGGCAAUGUUAAACGCUGCUUGAAAGGUGUCAAUCAUUGGAGAUGCUUUUAGAUUCUCAUCAAUUUUCCGCUACGCUAACCAAUCCUAGCUAACCACAUUCUACAGAGUGAUGUACACAUAAGUUACUGUUAAAAAUGACCAAGUGUACUCCCCCAUAAAGCCAAGGCAUUGUCCAGAUAUAUUCGAGUUUAUAUUGUCACCAGUCACCACAUAAAUACAUAAAAAGAUCAUCCUCACUUUACCCCAUUAUAUACUGCUGGUCUAUGUGUACUCACUUUGACAGCUGGAAUAUGAUGUGGCUUCUCAUGAUGAGUUGGCAUAUGACUUGAUGAUCUUGAACAAUCUUCGCACAGACAACAUAAUAUUUGAACACAAUAUGACUCUAUUCUAAGCAUAAUUAAUUGCAUAUCCUGCAACAUGCAGUAAUUACUAAUCAUUUAUCAAAGAUUCGUGUUCCAUAUAUAUAUAUAAAGUAUUUAAAAUCAUAUAAAAUGCCAGUCAACCAACUAGAUAACAUGAAAAGGCUCAGUUGACACACACAAGGUAUAGAUUUUAAAACCAAAGAAAGAGAAUAUUCAAGCUUUUUGCACCAGAAGCUCUAAUAUUCGUGUUGUCAACAUGUUGUAUUCAAGUUCAUAUUGUCACCACAGAGUAAAAAGAUUCUCCCCACUUUCUGAACUUGGCCCAAUCAUACCCCAGAAGGUGCUAAUUCAAAUACACUAACUUUGGCAGCUGGAAUAUGAUGUGGCUUCACAAUUGCCACUUGUCUGCACACACUUAAAUCCACCCAAACAAUCGAAUAUAUACUGAUCUGUAAUUAAAUUUCCAACGUGGAAUAGCAAUAUUGUGUCACGCAAGUACUCGCAUUGGGUUUUACACGCCCUCCAGGCAUUUACCCACGUCCAUCCUGUGCCCAACCCGAGCAAAGAAACCUGAAACACUCGCAAGCUUUUUACAUCUAUAUAAACAGCAUUCACUUCCAAAAUACUCAAACUUAAUCACAUUCAUUAACAAUUCAUUACCCUAGCUCGUCAGUGUUUUUCGGCUACUCUAAGAGAUCAUACUGAGAAUGGCUCUUUUUUCCGAGACCUCUGGAUUGUGGUGCACGGUGCACAAAGAAGGUGACGAUGAUGAUGCAUAUACCUAUGUCCCGUGUGUUCGAGGUGGUGGUGAUGAUGAUGACGGAGAUUAUGAUUAUGCUCCUGCUGCGUCUGAGGGUGAUGACGAUGAUGAUGAUGGUUAUGAUUAUGCUCCUGCUGCUUGAGUAACAAGGGAGACUAGUAUCUAACAAUUCAUAUAGCUAAUAGCUGUCUGCAUAGUGCAUAAGGCAAUGGUGCAUGUAUUAAACUAAUUUCCUAAGUCAAGAUUAGAGACAUAAGUAAUAUUUUUGUUCCAUAUCAUGAUUUUGUUGACUCAUGUACGUGUAUCCGGUUAAAUUAUUACAAUGAUAUCUAGAUGGCUGCAGAUUGAUUUUUCUAUUGUUUUUGUCGUUUUGUUGUCG